UACAAGUUAAACACUAGCCUUGCUCGAAGUAAACCCAACUGGUUGAGGAGAGCAGAUUCCUGGUUCUGUUGUUGCAAUGGCCAGAAAUUGCUGAUGAGGAGAAACAACAAUAUAUGUCCAAGAAAGAAGGUAAACCAAAUGAAGAAUCAAUCAACCAAAAAGCCAAAAAAUCUAAGUCACCAAAGAGCACAGAAGCCAAAAAAAUAUAUCAACCACCAUGGCCACAAAAAUGCUUGGGCUGAAAAAAGGAAGCAGAGAGAGCUCGCCGGUAUUCUUUAUCCUGAAGAAUCAACCGUCCGGAACCAAAUGGAAGCGACUUAGUGAUCCUCGAGAUACUCUGCAACAAGCAUAAAACACAACCAUUCAUAGCCAAUAUAGAUCAGAAGCUUUCUGAAGCACAUGCUGGUGAAACGGGUGUAGAUUCGAGAUGAUAGAGCUCCACACCGUCAUCCCCAUCACUUCCAGAACAUGCCAGGAUGAAAGCAAAAGAAGCAAAUUGUAACCAAGCAUGUAUGAGAGAAAAAGCACUACCAAACAACACCUAACACACUAAAAAGAACACAUAUCUAAGAAAAAAAAAAAUCUCUUUUAAAGCACCAAUCUGUUAAAGCAAAACAAAAACCUUAUUUACUGGGUGGGGACCCACUCUCUGGGCAGGAGAAGAACUGGCCAUCCCCUGUUCGGAUGGGGCAGAGGACGGCCAUACAGGAGCGACAAAAGAAAGCCGACGAAACUGCCGAGAAACUGAAGAGGACCAAAAGAGAGAGCUUCUCUCUCUAGCUCAAAACUAACGGGUCAAUCCACUUAAGUUGGAUCCACUAUAUACAACGGGUCAUUCAGUCAAUUCACUUAAGUUGGAUCCACUAUAUAUAACGGG
rnacentral:lncRNA from 1 species